ACUUAUUUUUGUUGAAUGUUUGUUCUUCUGAAAAAACUUGUGUAGGAAAGAGACUGACGCAUCAAAAUCUCAUGAGGAACAAUGAAAAAAAGAAGGCUUUAGAGGCAUUACCAAAAUUACAGCAGUGAAUAAAAAUUCAAGUGGAGCAGUGAAGAGUGCUAACAACAGCUCCCUAGCAUCGACACAUCGGUCUUGGCCUGCCAGAAAAGGGUAUCAGUGUCACAUUUGUUAUAAGUAUUUUACUACAGGUUGGUACCGUAACAGACACAUGACACUGCAUGGUGGAGUUCUUCCAGAGUACCAGUGUGACAUCUGCAACAAGAUUUUUCACUGGAAAGUUAGUGCUAUACGCCAUCGAGCUACUGUUCAUAAAACGAAAAAGACUUUCUGAAGAAGGAGGAGGAUUGGUUUGUCAAGAAAAUACUUUUAGGCGAAGAUGGUUAAAGAAUAUAUAAAACUGUGUGGACCAGAAAAGUUGGAAUGGGAUAAAAUGAUGGUCAAGACUCCACAGGGUUAUAGGUACCUCUGUCCAUCAUGUUUGAACAGUUAUUCAUCUUCUGAUAGUUUGAGGAUGCAUCAUUACUACAAACAUAGGAAACAAGACCGUCACUAUUGUAACUACUGUGGUAGAGGUUUUGUUAGAAGUGGUGACAUGAAGCGCCACUCUUUAGGCUGUAAGAUUCGGAGAGUUUAUUGAAUAAGGGUAAAAUUUGUCAGGAUUUUUAAUAAAUAGUUUUGUUUGAAAAUGUACAUAUUGAAUAGUUUGGUGUUCUGUUUGAAAUUUUAAAAGCAAGGUUUUAAUAAAGUUUUGGUGAUUACUCCUUUCAUUUUAAGGUUCCUUGAUGGUCCUUACUGGCUGUAACUGUCAACACAAAAACACUUAUUUGGAAGACAUGCAUACAACAAAAAUAUUCAAAUCAGUCAUUUAAAGUUGUCGUUAAAUUAAAUGAAUGAGAUAUAAUUUUAUUUGGAACUAAACUGUAUAACUUACACAUGGCGUAUCAUACUUUAUAGAAGGUUCACCCAGUAUAAAAAAUUUUUUAUUUAAUUUCACAACAGAAAAUAUUGAAAGUUCGACCUUCAUUUGAGGACAUUUCAUAUGAAGUGUUAAGUUGUGUGUCUUCCAUCCCAUAAACGUAAAGAUGUAACAAAAUAUACAGUCUAUAAUCACUUCCUUCCAGGGUCAUACCGUUACCAGUGGAAAGCCAUGGCUAUAACCACAGGGGCUGGACGAGAGUACAUGUGCCCAUCGUGCCGAAAAACAUUCCACAAUACUAAUUCUUUGAGAUGUCAUCACCUAAAAGAGCAUCGAACACCAACAAGAUUUAGAUGUCACUUAUGUGGGAAAGGCUUCAAAUGGAACUGUUACCUAAGGAAUCAUAUGAUUCAUU